GCCCUCGUAGCUUAAUGGAUAAAGCAAGCCCGUCCUAAGGGCGAGACUGGAGGUUCGACUCCUCUCGGGGGUA
rnacentral:tRNA from 1 species